CGAAACCAGGUGAUCUACCCUUGGUCAGGUUGAAGUUCAGGUAACACUGAAUGGAGGACCGAACCGACUUACGUUGAAAAGUGAGCGGAUGAACUGAGGGUAGCGGAGAAAUUCCAAUCGAACCUGGAGAUAGCUGGUUCUCUCCGAAAUAGCUUUAGGGCUAGCCUCAAGUGAUGAUUAUUGGAGGUAGAGCACUGUUUGGACGAGGGGCCCCUCUCGGGUUACCGAAUUCAGACAAACUCCGAAUGCCAAUUAAUUUAACUUGGGAGUCAGAACAUGGGUGAUAAGGUCCGUGUUCGAAAGGGAAACAGCCCAGACCACCAGCUAAGGUCCCAAAAUAUAUGUUAAGUGGAAAAGGAUGUGGCGUUGCCCAGACAACUAGGAUGUUGGCUUAGAAGCAGCCAUCAUUUAAAGAGUGCGUAAUAGCUCACUAGUCGAGUGACACUGCGCCGAAAAUGUACCGGGGCUAAACAUAUUACCGAAGCUGUGGAUUGUCCUUUGGACAAUGGUAGGAGAGCGUUCUAAGGGCGUUGAAGCAUGAUCGUAAGGACAUGUGGAGCGCUUAGAAGUGAGAAUGCCGGUGUGAGUAGCGAAAGACGGGUGAGAAUCCCGUCCACCGAUUGACUAAGGUUUCCAGAGGAAGGCUCGUCCGCUCUGGGUUAGUCGGGUCCUAAGCUGAGGCCGACAGGCGUAGGCGAUGGAUAACAGGUUGAUAUUCCUGUACCACCUAUAAUCGUUUUAAUCGAUGGGGGGGACGCAGUAGGAUAGGCGAAGCGUGCGAUUGGAUUGCACGUCUAAGCAGUAAGGCUGAGUAUUAGGCAAAUCCGGUACUCGUUAAGGCUGAGCUGUGAUGGGGAGAAGACAUUGUGUCUUCGAGUCGUUGAUUUCACACUGCCGAGAAAAGCCUCUAGAUAGAAAAUAGGUGCCCGUACCGCAAACCGACACAGGUAGUCAAGAUGAGAAUUCUAAGGUGAGCGAGCGAACUCUCGUUAAGGAACUCGGCAAAAUGACCCCGUAACUUCGGGAGAAGGGGUGCUCUUUAGGGUUAACGCCCAGAAGAGCCGCAGUGAAUAGGCCCAAGCGACUGUUUAUCAAAAACACAGGUCUCUGCUAAACCGUAAGGUGAUGUAUAGGGGCUGACGCCUGCCCGGUGCUGGAAGGUUAAGAGGAGUGGUUAGCUUCUGCGAAGCUACGAAUCGAAGCCCCAGUAAACGGCGGCCGUAACUAUAACGGUCCUAAGGUAGCGAAAUUCCUUGUCGGGUAAGUUCCGACCCGCACGAAAGGCGUAACGAUUUGGGCACUGUCUCAACGAGAGACUCGGUGAAAUCAUAGUACCUGUGAAGAUGCAGGUUACCCGCGACAGGACGGAAAGACCCCGUGGAGCUUUACUGUAGCCUGAUAUUGAAAUUCGGCACAGCUUGUACAGGAUAGGUAGGAGCCUUUGAAACGUGAGCGCUAGCUUACGUGGAGGCGCUGGUGGGAUACUACCCUAGCUGUGUUGGCUUUCUAACCCGCACCACUUAUCGUGGUGGGAGACAGUGUCAGGCGGGCAGUUUGACUGGGGCGGUCGCCUCCUAAAAGGUAACGGAGGCGCUCAAAGGUUCCCUCAGAAUGGUUGGAAAUCAUUCAUAGAGUGUAAAGGCAUAAGGGAGCUUGACUGCGAGACCUACAAGUCGAGCAGGGUCGAAAGACGGACUUAGUGAUCCGGUGGUUCCGCAUGGAAGGGCCAUCGCUCAACGGAUAAAAGCUACCCCGGGGAUAACAGGCUUAUCUCCCCCAAGAGUUCACAUCGACGGGGAGGUUUGGCACCUCGAUGUCGGCUCAUCGCAUCCUGGGGCUGUAGUCGGUCCCAAGGGUUGGGCUGUUCGCCCAUUAAAGCGGUACGCGAGCUGGGUUCAGAACGUCGUGAGACAGUUCGGUCCCUAUCCGUCGUGGGCGUAGGAAAUUUGAGAGGAGCUGUCCUUAGUACGAGAGGACCGGGAUGGACAUACCUCUGGUGUACCAGUUGUCGUGCCAACGGCAUAGCUGGGUAGCUAUGUGUGGACGGGAUAAGUGCUGAAAG
rnacentral:rRNA from 1 species